rnacentral:misc_RNA from 1 species
AGAAGACCUCGUCGGCCACGCACAUGUCCGUCCCCGCGCUCUCUCCGGCCGGGACGAUGCCGCCGGACGACAGGAUGCAGAACUCGAAGUCGUCGGCCGAGUCCGAGGUGGGGCCGUCGGCCGAGUCCGAGGCGCGGCACUCUGUCUCUGCCAUGGUCGGAUUCUUUUCCUGGUCCAAGGAGAACGGGGAGAAGAAAUGGUCAGGUUUUCGUUGUGUUCUGGUCUUCCUUUUGGCUUGUUCGGUUUUAUAUUGGAAGAAAAGAGGGGAUGCAAAUGCAGAGGGAGAGAGAGAGAGGUCAUGGUCAUGCGGUGGUCUCUUUCCGUCUUUCCUCUAUGUCGUAGGGAGUAGGGACAUCUCAUGUCACUGCACUUGGCAGCCAUUAGUUAAACCUCAAAACCACAAAGGCUGAUUUUAGCUAGCUUUAAAAUGAC